rnacentral:lncRNA from 1 species
CUUUAACCUGAAAGGGGUUUAUGCCUGCUGUGGUCACACUUGUAUCACUCUCCAGGAAGACUCCAAGAUGUUCAUUCCCUAUGCAAUCCAAAGCCCCAGAUUUGGCUCUGUUAAUCUGCAGGAGGAUGCAGGCUGUGUCACCAUGUGCUGGCUUCCCAGGAACCCCCAGCCAAUGCCCCACAAACCCUGGCUCCCUGCACGAGGAUUGUUCUCCACCCUCUUGGAAGAGCACCUGAAUUAACAGAUAAUGUAUGUACAGCUCUGGGGCUCCCACGGUCUGCAGCCUAAUCCUGG